GCAGACAAACUGGGAUGCAGCUGUCCAGAGGAACCCAGGGAGCCUCCCAGCCCUGUCCCAAGCCAGUCUUUACUCAGGACUUCGCUUCCCCAGACGGACGCCACACGAGGCCAACCAGCUCUAACAGCCUCUAACCACGUUGCCCACCACGUCCUGGCUGAAGGACCCGGGACCAGCUGUGAUGCAGGGCCGCCUCGGUCCUGAGGAAACUAGACCUGCCUCCUUUAAGGUUUCCGGGCUCAGUCGCAGCAGAGUCAAACCUCAUCCUCAGGAGAGCGCGCGUUGCUGGCGGAGGGUUCCAGGACAACACGCACUAAUACCACUAGGAGUGCGCAAAUGUGGUCCUAGCUCUCCAGGCAGGGAGAGCAGGUUUCCUGUUACCUGUUAUGAGCAACUCCUACAUCUGCACCCAACUGUACGCCAGCAGCACCGCUUCUCAGCUAAUCCAGCUCUUCGUUUUGGUCAUUUUGAUGGUGUUAGCAUUUUCCAGUGCUUCCCAGCCAUAUUUUCACGUGGAAAUGAACACUUACAACAUGACUAUGAUCAUUUUAGAAAGUAGCGCAUUGUAGGGAAUGUUGCUAUCUUUUUUAAAAAGGAAAAAGAAAGCUCACAGGAAAGUUUUCAUCCUUUCCCCAACACUAUGAGACUUGGUCUUUUGAAUAGUGUGACCAUUAGGCUCACACGCUGACUAAGAGCACUGCCCAGAAUUAGAAUGUCACUAGCCCAGGAAACAGUUAAAAUUCAAAGUGCGGUUCCUACUGAAUGCAAAUUGCUUCUCACCAUUGUAAAGUUGAAGAAUUGUAAGUCAAACCAUCUUAAGUCAGGGACCACUCAUCUUUGAAUAAAGGUUGAAAUUGUCUUGCUUUUCAAACGAAGUAACUCUUGAGAAAAAUUUUAGUUACUCUCUUUUGAUGGAUUUGCCUAAUUUAGACAUUUCAUAUAAAUGGAAUCAUACAAUAUCUGUCUUUUUUUGACUUAGCAUAAUGUUUUCAAAGUUUGUUCAUGAAUCAGUAUUUCAACUCUUUUGGUUGCUGAAUAAUAUACCAUCAAAGAAAUACACUACAUCUUUAAAAAAUGUAAAAAAAAAAUAGUGUGACCAAAGAUUUUAUCAAAUUACUUUCAGUAUAACCCAAACCCUCUCUAAUGCACAGACUAUGUAUCUACCCAUCCCUUAUGACCCCCAACUUAGAAUUAUUUCCUUUCCAAGGCUAAACUUCUUUGUAAUGGAAAUGUACUUGGAAAGUUUCAGCAGUGAGAAGAUAUUUCAUGGUUCAUGGUCAGGAUAUAAGCGAUGACUCAACCUUGUAGAAACCACAUAACUUGCUGUGGCUGGAAUCUUCCAUGUUAACUUUUAAUGCCGAGCUCUUAUCAGAAAUUUAUUCUCUAGGUAGUACAGUUCUACAUAUUUAAAGUUUCAGGGCCCCUUGAUGAAAACAGGCUAAGAAAACUGAGCGAGUAUAAUAAAAAAAGAUGAGGUGACAUUUGUCCUUAGCUUAGAUUUACUGUGAUAGAUGCCAGCUAUGAUCAGCUAGUUGGCGGAGCAGUUUCUGGCUCCCCGUAAACCUAUGGAGCCACUGGCUUUCGCUAUGUUUAUAUGUGGCCCUAGAAGAAGCAAUGAUGUGUUUCCAGAAGACACUGACUAUGGAGGCAUUGGCCAGAGGUACAUAUGAGAUAGAUAUGCAGAGAUAAGGGACUUUGGUCCCUUCCACAAGCCCAAAACUUCCUGGAAUGCAUGGUUAGAGAUUAAAAAACAGCCCACAGAGCCACAAGGCCAAGAAAGAUCAAAACACAUUGCUUUAAGGAAUGAAUGUUCUGGCCCUCAUCCUCCUCAUACUCUGAUUUAUUACUUAGAUUGUAAUAAGGUCAAUCAUGUAACAGGCCACCCUGACCUUCUCCUGUCCUUCCUGAUUCUAUCAAUAAAAAGCCACAGAAGCUUCAGUUCGAGGCUGUCUUUAUGAGACACUCUCAUGCUGAGGGGUCUCAGAUAAGGGUAACCCCUCUGGACCUUCCUGGAGUUUGAAUUGGACACUGGCUCCAAGUAAUCUUUCAUCCUUUGCACCAUGUCAUGGCCAUGAACUGUGACACUCUGAAAGUUGGAUUCCUUGGUGGGCCCGAGGUGCAGCCCACCUGCCUAUUUGGACCUGCUCUCUCUGAUUGGCGGUGUUUCACGUCUACUUUUCUUGUGACAGCACUGGGCCUGGACACUGUGUUAGAAAUUUUAUUUCCAUCCCUGCCUCCCAAACAGGACUGUGAGACUUUUAGAGGAGCAAAAUGUUUGUAUGUUCAAUACUAAGUAUAGUUUCUGGAAAUUAGGCAUCUAAAUUCAUGUAAGUGAAAGACUCGAAGAGAAUGUGAGCUCCAGAGAAUGCAAUCAAAGAUGGCAAACACUGAGCCCAAGCAGAAAGCCUGUCUGAGCCGGGACUUCACAGGGGACUGGAGGAAGAGCAAGACCUUUGUGAAGCUGAAUUCUUAGGAAUGUCAAUUGGGGCUAAUUGAGCAGAAUCGUUUAUCCUUCAACCUUGGAAGUUCGUAAUGGCUUCUGGCUUUGUUUUCCAUUAUUACUAAAUGUUUUUAGCAUGUGAGAAAUAGUAAUAAAUAACUACAGGACAUGAGCAAACCUUCAAUAAAGAUCUUUAUCAAUCAGAGUCAAAAUGAUUCUGGACAAAUUACUUUGGGGAGGGUGGCUUGAACCCAGGACUUCUGUAAUGAGCUACAUCCCCUGCCCUUAAAAAACAUUUUUUUAAAAAAAUUUUGACUCAGGGAUUAAGUUAUCCAGGCUAGAAUUGAAUUGGCAAUCCUUCUGUUUCAGGAUCCCAGAGUGCUGGGAUUUCAAGCCCAGGCCACCAUACUCAGCUUACAUUCUCAAUCAUGCAUCUAAUUAUGAAGAGUAAAGGUUAUUCCUCCCCUUCUUCUUUUCUUCUCAUCCUUUCCCUUUUCUUUUCUUCCCCCGCUUCCUUCUACUCCCCUUCCUGGUGCUGUUGCAGUAGCUUGGGAUCACUGGUUCCUUGAGUGGGCCAAACAAGAGCUCUAUCCCUGAGCUACAUUCCCAGGUCCUGUUCCUCCUCUUUUAUGUGCCCCCUGGGUAUGGUACUGAGCCUCUCUUGGGAGACAAUGCACACAGUGGUAAUGGACCUGAGAUUAGAAUACUAAGACUUGAAGCUGAACACUACUACUCAUUAGGCAGGUAAGUGUAGGC
rnacentral:lncRNA from 1 species